CCUACGGGAGGCAGCAGUAGGGAAUCUUCCACAAUGGACGAAAGUCUGAUGGAGCAACGCCGCGUGAGUGAUGAAGGUUUUCGGAUCGUAAAACUCUGUUGUAAGGGAAGAACAAGUACGUUAGGAAAUGAACGUACCUUGACGGUACCUUAUUAGAAAGCCACGGCUAACUACGUGCCAGCAGCCGCGGUAAUACGUAGGUGGCAAGCGUUGUCCGGAUUUAUUGGGCGUAAAGCGCGCGCAGGCGGUUUCUUAAGUCUGAUGUGAAAGCCCACGGCUUAACCGUGGAGGGUCAUUGGAAACUGGGAGACUUGAGUGCAGAAGAGGAAAGUGGAAUUCCAAGUGUAGCGGUGAAAUGCGUAGAGAUUUGGAGGAACACCAGUGGCGAAGGCGACUUUCUGGUCUGCAACUGACGCUGAGGCGCGAAAGCAUGGGGAGCAAACAGGAUUAGAUACCCUGGUAGUCCAUGCCGUAAACGAUGAGUGCUAAGUGUUAGGGGGUUUCCGCCCCUUAGUGCUGCAGCUAACGCAUUAAGCACUCCGCCUGGGGGAGUACGACCGCAAGGUUGAAACUCAAAGGAAUUGACGGGGGCCCGCACAAGCGGUGGAGCAUGUGGUUUAAUUCGAAGCAACGCGAAGAACCUUAC
rnacentral:rRNA from 1 species